rnacentral:rRNA from 1 species
CCUACGGGGGGCAGCAGUAGGGAAUUUUCCACAAUGGGCGAAAGCCUGAUGGAGCAACGCCGCGUGGGUGAAGAAGGUCUUCGGAUCGUAAAACCCUGUUGUUAGAGAAGAAAGUGCGUGAGAGUAACUGUUCACGUUUCGACGGUAUCUAACCAGAAAGCCACGGCUAACUACGUGCCAGCAGCCGCGGUAAUACGUAGGUGGCAAGCGUUAUCCGGAUUUAUUGGGCGUAAAGGGAACGCAGGCGGUCUUUUAAGUCGGAUGUGAAAGCCUUCGGCUUAACCGGAGUAGUGCAUUGGAAACUGGGAGACUGGAGUGCAGAAGAGGAGAGUGGAACUCCAUGUGUAGCGGUGAAAUGCGUAGAUAUAUGGAAGAACACCAGUGGCGAAAGCGGCUCUCUGGUCUGUAACUGACGCUGAGGUUCGAAAGCGUGGGUAGCAAACAGGAUUAGAUACCCUGGUAGUC